rnacentral:rRNA from 1 species
AAUGAACGCUGGCGGCAGGCCUAACACAUGCAAGUCGAGCGGAGCGGCGGACGGGUGAGUAAUGCCUAGGAAUCUGCCUGGUAGUGGGGGAUAACGUCCGGAAACGGGAGCUAAUACCGCAUCCUAUCAGCUUAGCCUAGGUCGGAUUAGCUAGUUGGUGGGUUAAAGGACUACCAGGGCGACGAUGCGCAACUUGUCUGAGAGGAUGAUCAGUCACACUGGAACUGAGACACGGUCCAGACUCCUACGGGAGGCAGCAGUGGGGAAUCUUGGACAAUGGACGAAAGCCUGAUCCAGCCAUGCCGCGUGUGUGAAGAAGGUAUUCGGAUUGUAAAGCACUUUAAGUUGGGAGGCGUUACCAACAGAAUAAGCACCGGCUAACUUCGUGCCAGCCGCCGCGGUAAUAC